CUAAUUUGUUCAAUUCCAACGUUAAUUUCCUGUUAGAGAGAGGUAGAAGCAGCAUUUUCCCUUAAGGGAGAGGUGUUGCUCCUUCUUUCCUAGCUAGGCCUGUGAUGAUCUAAAAGUCUGAGACCAGUGACCAUCAAUCAAAGACCGUCAGUCCUUACGGGUGGUCUUUGCCUGCUGAGCUUUGCCAUUGUGGUAUGAUUUGGUUCUUCAACAGAAAUAAUAAAUUGUUCUCUUUAUGAGUUAGG
rnacentral:lncRNA from 1 species